rnacentral:rRNA from 1 species
GAUGAACGCUGGCGGCGUGCCUAAUACAUGCAAGUCGAGCGAACGGACGAGAAGCUUGCUUCUCUGAUGUUAGCGGCGGACGGGUGAGUAACACGUGGAUAACCUACCUAUAAGACUGGGAUAACUUCGGGAAACCGGAGCUAAUACCGGAUAAUAUUUUGAACCGCAUGGUUCAAAAGUGAAAGACGGUCUUGCUGUCACUUAUAGAUGGAUCCGCGCUGCAUUAGCUAGUUGGUAAGGUAACGGCUUACCAAGGCAACGAUGCAUAGCCGACCUGAGAGGGUGAGCGGCCACACGGGAACUGAGACACGGUCCAGACUCCUACGGGAGGCAGCAGUAGGGAAUCUUCCGCAAUGGGCGAAAGCCUGACGGAGCAACGCCGCGUGAGUGAUGAAGGUCUUCGGAUCGUAAAACUCUGUUAUUAGGGAAGAAAAGAUGUGUAAGUAACUGUGCACAUCUUGACGGUACCUAAUCAGAAAGCAACGGCUAACUACGUG